rnacentral:lncRNA from 1 species
GUUGGGCUUUCAUCCCUAUAUGCUGGCUCCAGGACCCAGCCAAUAUCGUAUUUGUUGUUUCUAGAUAAUUGGCUACUAGUGGGCCACUGAGUAUUUGGAAUGUCAUUGGCUUUAUGAGGAUCAUCAAAGGUUACUGCCUUUCUUUGAGGUAGAAGGUGAACCUUGGCAAGUCAGUUAUCCUUUUCAGUCCGAAGAUGAAGGCCUAUCUAAGAUAAGUUAUCAAGGAU